UACGGAGGGGGCAAGCGUUGUUCGGAAUUACUGGGCGUAAAGGGCGCGUAGGCGGCCUUCUAAGUCGAACGUGAAAUCCCCGGGCUCAACCCGGGAACUGCGUCCGAUACUGGAAGGCUUGAAUCCGGGAGAGGGAUGCGGAAUUCCAGGUGUAGCGGUGAAAUGCGUAGAUAUCUGGAGGAACACCGGUGGCGAAGGCGGCAUCCUGGACCGACACUGACGCUGAGGAGCGAAAGCCAGGGGAGCAAACGGG
rnacentral:rRNA from 1 species